CUGUCCUUUUGAAGGGUAUUUUGAGUCCAAAAAUUAAGUAAUGGAACCAGAUAUGUGCCUAACCGAGCCAUAUUGCUGGCUAACUAAGCCAAAUAGCUAUUUUGUGAGACAAAAUACCACUUUAUUGCAAGCCAUGGUUCCACUUAAACUAUACCAAUUGGAUUUCAAUUGGUGGCUUUAUGUCACAUCACAAUUUUUCCUUUCAAAAAAGGACCAAAAAUUGAUUUUUCCCAAAACACUUUCUCUUUCUAUCAAACUUUCACCAGAUUUCAAUGUUGACCAAAUUCAAAAUUCAAAAUUUUUUUCCCCUCUUUCAUUUUUUCAAAAUUCUAUAUCAUCUUUAACACUUUUUUCAUUUCACAUUUCAUUCAUUUUCCUCUUCUUUAUCUGACUUUAUAUUUGUGCAUUACUUCUCUUCAUUUUUUUCCUAAUAUACAUUUUUGAAUAAAUCUCAUCUUAAUCUUCUUUGUCUAAUCAGAUGAAUUUUUUUUCUUUCAUGAAAGUUUAACAAUCAAACAGCAGCAGAGAUAAAUAAAAUAUAAAGAAAUAAGAGGAAUAACUUCAUUUUGGUAACUUUUUAUUAUCUUCUCAUCUUAACUUCAACUUUCUAACCAUUAAACUUGGUUUGGUUUUGCAGGAACAAUAUUGAUGUCCUUAUUUCUACAACAAACCACAAAGAAGGACAUGGGUAAGUAAAUAAUAAAAGUUUUAAUUUGAUAUAUUGAUUUUAUUUACCUUACUUUCCUUUUCGCACGGUUCAUUAUGUUAAAAAAGAAAUUUUUAUUUGAAAAAACAACUGGAAAAAUAUACUUGAUUAAAUUUGAGAAAUUGAAAAACAAAAUUAUUAUGAUUUUUUUUCCUUGAACUUCAUGACAGCCAAAUAAGUUCGUCUAGCGCGGGUAUGUAGACGAAACUCAUUUUCUUCACUAUAUUUAGUUUUGGUUACUGUUGUUGAUCCAUAUGAAUAAAUGUUUUGUUUUCACUAUAUUUAAAGGUUCAAGAUUAAAGAAAACUUUUUUUAAUAGUUUAAUUUUUUUUGUUUUGAUGUAUAAAUUCAUCAAAACUUUUUUUUAAUAAUGAAUCAAAAAUUUUGAGGACCGAUUUAUUUUGUAGGUCUCAAGAGUAUAAAUAUUGAAGGUGCAAGAUGAGAAAGAGAUGGUGAGGGAUAUGCCGUGAACAGAGACACAGUGGGUUGAGAUCUAGAAAAUUUGUUUUAACGUUAGAUGUAGAAAAAAAAAAUAUGUAACAAAAAAAAUUAGAAGAAAAAAAAAUCAACUAUUUCUCAUUCAUGAACUUAUUUUAUUUUAUUAGUUUUGAUUAUUUCACUUUUAGUUGUAUAGAAAAAGAAAGAAGAUGCAAAAUAAGAAAUAUAUAAAAAAAGAAAUAAAAUAAAAAUUACUACAGAGGCUAGAAAACAACAGAAACAUCUUUUCCUAUAAAUUUCCAAGAUCCAACAAAUAAAUAACAAAAAAAAUUAUAUAAUUACAGUAAUGAAAUCAUGGGAAAUAUAUUCAAAAGAUGAGCAUGACUUCUACAAACAAAGGACAAAAAAACAACUUACAAAGAAAAAGAAAUUCAAACCAGAUAUGAUUUUUUCCCCUUCUUUUGUUGUCUUUGAUUUUGUUCUUGGAUGUAAAAGUACACUGAAGAAGAUGAAGUCCCACAAUGUUUUCGGUAGGAUGGAGGAGAAGACAACAACACCAAACACAUAUUUUGGUCACGGUCACAGUGUUUACCGGCACGGUGGCCGCCGACGAAGGUGUUCUGAUCUUAAAUUUUCUUUGUGGGUAUUGUAAAGGAGAUGAAGGAGAUUAUUUAUAUGGUGGUGAUAUUUCAAAAGAUUUUCUAUGGAGGUCAAGAUCUAGGUGAGAAAGUGAUAAUUAAGAUUUAAAAAAAAAAUUGUGCAAAGGUGAAGAAAUGGAACAUGUUGGUCGUGAGAAGAAGAAGAGGAGAUGUUGAUGAAGGAGAGUUUAUGAUAUUGAAGGAAGAUGUUGGAAGAAAAAAAAAGAAAAAAAAAAGGGAAGGAAUGGAGCGGCUGNNN
rnacentral:lncRNA from 1 species